UUGGAGGGCAAGUCUGGUGCCAGCAGCCGCGGUGAUUCCAGCUCCAAUAGCGUAUAUUAAAGUUGUUGCAGUUAAAAAGCUCGUAGUUGAAUUUCGGGGUUCUACCGUUGGUCGGGCUUUGUCUGUACUGGUGUGUAGAAUUUCUACCUUCUGGGGAACCAUCAUGCUAUUAAUUUAGCGUGGUGGGAAACCAGGACCUUUACCUUGAAAAAAUUAGUGUGUUCAAAGCAGGCUUAUGUCUGAAUACAUUAGCGUGGAAUAAUAGAAUAGGACGGUGGUCCUGUUUUGUUGGUUUCUGAAUCACCGUAAUGAUUAAUAGGGAUAGUUGGGGGCAUUAGUAUUCAAUUGUCAGAGGUGAAAUUCUUGGAUUUAUUGAAGACUAACUUCUGCGAAAGCAUUUGCCAAGGAUGUUUUCAUUAAUCAAGAACGAAAGUUAGGGGAUCGAAGACGAUCAGAUACCGUCGUAGUCUUAACCAUAAACUAUGCCGACUAGGGAUCGGACGAUGUUAAUUUUUCUUGACUCGUUCGGCGCCUUACGGGAAAC
rnacentral:rRNA from 1 species